rnacentral:rRNA from 1 species
CUUGAAAUUCAAGGGAUUUGGCGGUAUUUUAGUCUAGUUAGAGGAACCUGUUUCGUAAAUGAUGCUGCACGUAAUAUCUUACUAACUUUUGUUUGAAAGUUUGUAUACCUCCAUUAUUAGAUAACUUUUAUAGAAAUAGUUAUUGAGAAUAAAUUUUUAAAUAUAUUAGGUCAAGGUGCAGCUUAUAAGGAUAGGGAGAAUGGGUUACAAUAAAAUUUAUUUAAAUGGAUUGAUGAAGGAAGAGGUAGUUAUCAUGAAGGAGGAUUUAAUUGUAAUGGAUUUUUAAUAAGAGUCAAUGAGAAAAGUACUAAAUUAUGUACACAUACGCCCG